AGUGAACGCUGGCGGUAGGCCUAACACAUGCAAGUCGAACGGCAGCACAGUAAGAGCUUGCUCUUACGGGUGGCGAGUGGCGGACGGGUGAGGAAUACAUCGGAAUCUACUUUUUCGUGGGGGAUAACGUAGGGAAACUUACGCUAAUACCGCAUACGACCUACGGGUGAAAGCAGGGGAUCUUCGGACCUUGCGCGAUUGAAUGAGCCGAUGUCGGAUUAGCUAGUUGGCGGGGUAAAGGCCCACCAAGGCGACGAUCCGUAGCUGGUCUGAGAGGAUGAUCAGCCACACUGGAACUGAGACACGGUCCAGACUCCUACGGGAGGCAGCAGCGGGGAAUAUUGGACAAUGGGCGCAAGCCUGAUCCAGCCAUGCCGCGUGGGUGAAGAAGGCCUUCGGGUUGUAAAGCCCUUUUGUUGGGAAAGAAAAGCAGCAGGUUAAUACCCCGCUGUUCCGACGGUACCCAAAGAAUAAGCACCGGCUAACUUCGUG
rnacentral:rRNA from 1 species